GACGAACGCUGGCGGCGUGCUUAACACAUGCAAGUCGAACGGAAAGGCCCUGCUUUUGUGGGGUGCUCGAGUGGCGAACGGGUGAGUAACACGUGAGUAACCUGCCAUUGACUUUGGGAUAACUUCAGGAAACUGGGGCUAAUACCGGAUAGGAGCUCCUGCUGCAUGGUGGGGGCUGGAAAGUUUCGGCGGUUGGGGAUGGACUCGCGGCCCAUCAGCUUGUUUGUGGGGUAGUGGCUUACCAAGGCUUUGAAGGGUGGCAGGCCUGGGAGGGUGACCGGCCAAAUUGGGACUGGGAUGCGGCCCAGACUCGUCCGGUAGGCAGCGGUGGGGUAUGGUGCACUAUGGGCGGAAGCCUGAUGCAGUAACGCCGCGUGCGGGAUGUCGGGCUUCGGGUUGUAAUCCGCUUUCGCCUGUGACGAGGCGUGAGUGACGGUAAUGGGUAAAGAAGCACCGGCUAACUACGUG
rnacentral:rRNA from 1 species